UACGGGGGGAGCAAGCGUUGUUCGGAUUUACUGGGCGUAAAGGGCGCGUAGGCGGCCACUGCAAGUCGGUUGUGGAAUCUCCGGGCUUAACUCGGAACGGUCAAGUGAUACUGUCGGACUAGAGUACAGAAGGGGCAACUGGAAUUCUCGGUGUAGCGGUGAAAUGCGUAGAUAUCGAGAGGAACACCUGCGGCGAAGGCGGGUUGCUGGGCUGAUACUGACGCUGAGGCGCGAAAGCCAGGGGAGCGAACGGG
rnacentral:rRNA from 1 species